GACGAACGCUGGCGGCGUGCCUAAUACAUGCAAGUCGAGCGAAUCAAUAGGAGCUUGCUCCUGUUGGUUAGCGGCGGACGGGUGAGUAACACGUGGGCAACCUGCCUGUAAGACUGGGAUAACACCGGGAAACCGGUGCUAAUACCGGAUAAUCCUUUUCCUCUCAUGAGGAAAAGCUGAAAGUCGGUUUCGGCUGACACUUACAGAUGGGUCCGCGGCGCAUUAGCUAGUUGGUGAGGUAAUGGCUCACCAAGGCGACGAUGCGUAGCCGACCUGAGAGGGUGAUCGGCCACACUGGGACUGAGACACGGCCCAGACUCCGACGGGAGGCAGCAGUAGGGAAUCGUCCACAAUGGACGAAAGUCUGGUGGAGCAACGCCGCGUGAGCGAUGAAGGCCUUCGGGUCGUAAAGCUCUGUUGUUAGGGAAGAACAAGUACCGGAGUAACUGCCGGUACCUUGACGGUACCUAACCAGAAAGCCACGGCUAACUACGUGCCAGCAGCCGCGGUAACAC
rnacentral:rRNA from 1 species